rnacentral:sRNA from 2 species
CCGCUCCUCAUUGGGGAGUAGCCGCUCCGCUCGAGCCGACGCCGCCCGGCGCGCUCGUGACGGAGGCGUCCGUCAACAGACUUGGCCGUCGCGGCCAUGGCGGACGCAGCCCGCAGGGCCUGGCGAGACCGAUGGUU